GAGGGGACAGUGGAGGGGAGGGCGGGAGUUGCUGUGGCUGCAGCGAGGUUGAAGGUGAGCGGAGAACGGCAGGUCCCGGGAGAACCCCCUCGGGAGGGUGGUGGUGCCGGCGGGGGCAGCGUCGGGCGAAGGCGGACACGGAGCCGGGGAGGAGCUGCGGGGGCCGGCAGAGCCUUUCCCGGGAAACAAAACCUGCGGCUUCUCCCGCCUCGGCCCCACGGCGAGGGGCAGCGCAGCAGAGCGGAGCAGCAUCUGAGCAGGCGGGGCAGUGCUGGGGCGCAGGGAAGAUGCGGCUGGGGCUGGAGGAGCAGUCGUGAGAAAUUUCGCGUUUGGAGUUCGGAUCCAAAAAGAAGGAACCUGAAACCACUUUUUCUGAUACAGCCCCCAGGGCUAAGUCGGAGAAAAGGCGGAGAGGAUGGUAAGUGGGAAUUCCAUUUUUAAAUCUGCCCUUGAAUUGCUGUUUCUCCCGGCAGAUCUGUGCUGCCUAAAGUACAAAGGAAGAAGAUGCUGGGAGUACCUAUUUGUUCACUUGUUGUGCUUGGAAGAGAUGUGAAAUUCCAGGGA
rnacentral:lncRNA from 1 species